GAAAGAUACAAGCUGGCCCUGGAGUAUUGCAGGACCUGGUCAAUACUAGCUAGGCUUGAUGGCAGAUCCUAUGUCCUAAGCAAAAUUCAGAUGGAAAUCAGUAGUGACAAAUUACGUCAAAGGCCUAAUAUUCUCUUCUAGGACUCUGUAUGUUAGCUAACUGAAGGCUUAUCUUCCACAUUUCCUUAGAGAAAGUGAAUUAGGCUUCCUGCUAACGGGUACCUCCAAGAGUCCCAUUCCUGCUGGCAGACAGAAGGCAUCCAGGGCCUGAUUCAGCACAUUUGUGGUAAGAACUUUGAGCCAAAUUAAGAGCCUCCUUUUGAAAUGGGGGCCAGAGGGGACUUCCAAAUGCUUUCCUUGAGGUUGCUCAGUGUCCUUAGCUAAUUAUACCGUCCUCCCAAAUAUGUAAAAGAGGAAGUAGAUCCAUGCAAAAAGAGUGGGAUUCCCCUUUUGGUUCGCAGUGGUUUUUAAAAACUUUAUUCUAAACAUAAUAUUAA
rnacentral:lncRNA from 1 species